UUUUUCUCCCCGUUUCGGCUCGGUCUUCUCUAACGUAUCUAAUCGUUAUCUCCUUCCUUAAACUCGGCCGGUGACCUACCUCUAUCAAAUUUAUUGUAUUAAUAUAAUACAACCACAAACUCCAUUCCCCUCCUCCUCUGGACUUUUUUAACCAAGACUUCACUAACCCUACCUUCCGUUCAGCCUGGUCAUUAGAGCUUGGGGUUGACAUGAUGGUGAUAAAAUGUGUUAUAUUUUUACAAGAUUUAUUAAACUUAUUAUUUAUUAAUAAAUACUGGUCCUCCGUCUGAAUACUAACGUAUUUAUUAAUCCGCAUUUAUCCAUCCAUAGUAUACAUUUUUUUAAAUGGUUAUUUCGCUCCUUAAGGGUGCAUUCACAGUAGAGAGCGACAGCGACACGACAAAAUACAAAUAUGUGUAAAUACCAAUGACUAUUCAUAGUGAGCUUUUGCGACGCGACACGACAAUCCCGCCAAAUUUGUCGCAUUAAACAUAAAAAUCACAUUACAAAACAUUUUGUUAUUUUCAAAGCGACAAACUAUAAUAUGGCCGAAAUACAAAAUUUGCAAGAUAUAAAUAAAGAAGAGUUGAUCAACUCUGUUAGAUUUUACCCUUGUCUUUAUGACAAAAGAUCAAUUGGGUAUAAAAAUACCCAGAAAAAUAAUUCCAUAUGGAAAUCCAUAGCAGCAGAAAAUAGUAUUGAGACAGUAGAGAUAGCUUAAUCUACAUGAAAGUAUCUAAAAGAUUCUUUUUUGAGGGAACAUAAAAAGUUGAAAUGUUUAAAAAGUGGGUCAGGGGCUGAUCACAGUCCCACCUGAAAAUUUUAUAAUAAUUUAACUUUUUUGAUUCCCACUAUAGAAUCUGGGAAACAAUACACCAACCUGAAAAAAAUAAAACCUCUUAUACCUAAUAUUGGUGACAGAUGAGUGGAAAUUUCCAAUAUGAAGAUGGAAAAUAUACUAAUUUUUGUUAAAAUUUUUAUUAUUAUAUAGCUGUUGAAAUUGAAUGUGACUGUCAGAGUCAAUCUACAGAUGUUAGGAAUGAUGCAUCACCAUCAACUAGUGAAUCUUAUGUACCUGGCAAAAAGUUAAUUAAAAAGAGAGAUAUUGAUCAAGAUUUAUUUGAGCAAGUUCUUGAAAUUGAAAGAAUAAAAGAAAGCAGAAAAUCAACAAAUUCUUGGAUCAAUGUGAUGCUUGAGCAGACCCUGGCAAAAAGAUCAGAUAGUGGAAAGAAAAAAUUAAUAAAAAUUAUUUGUGACAUUUUGUUAAAUUUUGAUAGUGAUGUAGAAUAAUAUUGCUUAUUUAUUAUAUUAAUAAAAUUUAA